rnacentral:misc_RNA from 1 species
AGGCCUUAAGAAGAAACAAGCUUCGUUAACAUUAUAAAACCAGACACUGUGCCGAGUUACACACCAUAUUACAACUCUAAGCUACUAGGCAAAUAAAGUUCAGAAAAGAUGUACUGCAGACAGGUGAAACAGUUCUACCCAUUGUUUUUAAGAAAUACUAAUCUGCUUAGUACUAAUAUUGUCUCCCUAAUAAAUUACCAACUCAACAAACCAAUACACUAUGCAAUAGCACCUCCUGUUUGGUGCAGCAUUGCAUCUAUCUC